rnacentral:misc_RNA from 1 species
CGCACCUUGCGCUCCUUGGUAUUCCGAGGAGCAUGCCUGUUUGAGUAUCAUGGAAUUCUCAAUCCUUCAAAUUUUGUAAUGAAGUUUGAAGGGCUUGGACUUGGAGGUUGUGUCGGCUCUUAGCUGAGUCGACUCCUCUCAAAUGUAUUAGCGUGAAUCUUUUACGGAUUCACUUCAGUGAUGAUAAUUAUCUGCGCUGUAGUGUUGAAGUAUUUUUAUUUAGUUCGUGCUUACAAUCGUCUCUUCACGAGACAAUUUCUUGACAAUCUGAUCUCAAAUCAGGUAGGACUACCCGCUGAACUUAA